GGAGCCUCCUGAUCGUUAUUUGGUAAGUUUUUCCAAACGAAAAUUCAAAUAAAAAGGUUGGAACCUAUGUGCAUGAUGAAGAAUGGAGAUUUACUGAAGGAAUUUAGUGCAUGGAAGUCUUUUAACUGCGUAAAAUAAAAACAUGUUCUUUAAAACCACCCAUUACUAGUUGUUAUCACCAAUCGUCAUUUCCAGGUGAGAAAACAGACAUCUUGCUGGAUCACAUGCCGGCUGUUUAGACUUUCGUGGGAGGUUUAACAAGGAAGAACAUUAAAAAGUCGGAAACUCAGGUUCUGUCGAACUUUGCGUUAGAUAGGAAAAACAAGUGAGGAACGAAAGAGCAGGUACCAAGCACAAGGACAACGCUGAUGAACGCAACAUUGCCAUGGUUGAGAGAGUAAACUUUCGAGUUGGUGCAUUUACACAAAGAAUUCGAAAAUCUUUGCAAUGUUUGGCAACCUGGGAUGGAUAUAGGCUGUGCCGAGUCGUGACUUCCAAGAAAUACAUUUGAUCGGCAAUUGCCUCUCUGUGCUCAUGAAUGGAAAAUGCAGAACGUUUCCGUGACCACACGUCAGCCACUGUCAGACGGAGCAGGAACUUGUGACAGAGCACAAGUGAAAAUAUGAUUUUCACUGGAGGUUGUUCAGCUUGCAUCAUUAGAGCCCAGGGGUUGUAUUUAACUAUUCCGCUCAGCCAAAUAAUAUGGAGUAUUGGAGAAAGACCGCGCCCUUCAAAAACAGUCGUUCUCUUCUUUUUGGAUACCGGAUUUACACGAUACUUCGUAAUUUUAAGAGAAGUUAUAAGAGUUUUUUUCCAGAAGAAAAGUCUCUUCUUUUAAAUUGUACUGAUAAAACAGGGAAGCCAUCCUCCAAUUAAGAGGCGGUAUUUAUAAUUUCAUUUGUUUUUUGAUAUUGUGGACGAUUUUAACUUUUGACCUUCUUUUCGCUCUCUAUUUUCAACUGCGGGUACCGUUCUGCCAUGCUAAGGAAGAACGCCGUAUGAGCCUUAAGGCGUU
rnacentral:lncRNA from 1 species